rnacentral:rRNA from 1 species
AACGAACGCUGGCGGCGCGCCUAAUACAUGCAAGUCGAGCGAGAAGACGUAGCAAUACGUUUGUAAAGCGGCGAACGGGUGAGGAAUACAUGGGUAACCUACCCUCGAGUGGGGAAUAACUAGCCGAAAGGUUAGCUAAUACCGCGUACGCUCCUUGGACUUCGGUUCAGGGAGGAAAGCGAUACCGAGGGUAUCGCGCUCUUGGAUGGGCUCAUGUCCUAUCAGCUUGUUGGUGAGGAACGGCUCACCAAGGCUUCGACGGGUAGCUGGUCUGAGAGGACGAUCAGCCACACUGGCACUGCGACACGGGCCAGACUCCUACGGGAGCAGCAGUAAGGAAUAUUGCGCAAUGGGCGAAAGCCUGACGCAGCGACGCCGCGUGGGGGAUGAAGGUCUUCGGAUU